rnacentral:rRNA from 1 species
GCGAACGCUGGCGGCAGGCCCAACACAUGCAAGUCGAACGAACCUUUCGGGGUUAGUGGCGGACGGGUGAGUAACACGUGGGAACGUGCCUUUAGGUUCGGAAUAACUCAGGGAAACUUGUGCUAAUACCGAAUGUGCCCUUCGGGGGAAAGAUUAAUCGCCUUUAGAGCGGCCCGCGUCUGAUUAGCUAGUUGGUUGAGGUAAUGGCUCACCAAGGCGACGAUCAGUAGCUGGUCUGAGAGGAUGAUCAGCCACAUUGGGACUGAGACACGGCCCAAACUCCUACGGGAGGCAGCAGUGGGGAAUCUUGCGCAAUGGGCGAAAGCCUGACGCAGCCAUGCCGCGUGAAUGAUGAAGGUCUUAGGAUUGUAAAAUUCUUUCACCGGGGACGAUAAUGACGGUACCCGGAGAAGAAGCCCCGGCUAACUUCGUG